AGCCUCACUCUAGCCCAGUCACCCCCUUCCCCCCCCCCCAAAAACUUAACUCAAACAACCAACUAAAACAUUCUCCUGUCUAAGUAUAGGCGAUAGAAAAGACGCCCGGAGCAAUAGACCCAAGUACCGCAAGGGAAAGAUGAAAUAACAAUGAAAACCUAAGCAACGAACAGCAAAGACUAACUCUUGUACCUCUUGCAUCAUGAUCUAGCAAGAACAACCAAGCAAAACGAACUUUAAGUUUGCCACCCCGAAACCCAAGCGAGCUACUCGCAAGCAGCUAUCCAUGAGCAAACCCGUCUCUGUAGCAAAAGAGUGGGAAGACUUGCUAGUAGUGGUGAAAAGCCUACCGAGCUGGGUGAUAGCUGGUUGCCUGUGAAAAGAAUAUAAGUUCCCCCUUAAUUUUACGCCCAAAGAGAACUCAACCAACUCACCCGUACUAAAUUAAGAGCAAUUUAAAGGAGGUACAGCUCCUUUAAAAAAGAAUACAACCUCUCCCAUAGGAUAAGCACCCACUUCACCUGAUUGUAGGCCCUCAAGCAGCCACCAAUAAAGAAUGCGUCAAAGCUCUUUACCCCUAAAAAAUCCAAAAACACACGCGACUCCCUCCCCCACAACAGGCUAAUCUAUCAUAAAUAGAAGUAUUAAUGCUAGAAUAAGUAACUAAGGAACAACCUUCUAAAGCACAAACUUACAUCACACAUUAUUAACAGACAUACUAAUACCCCAACCACCACAAGAUCGAGUAUUCAAUACAACACUGUUAAACCAACCCAGGAGUGCCCAAUUAGAAAGAUUUAAACCUGUAAAAGGAACUAGGCAAACCCAAGGCCCGACUGUUUACCAAAAACACAGCCUUUAGCAAACCAAGUAUUAAAGGUGACGCCUGCCCAGUGACACAGAGUUCAACGGCCGCGGUAUCCUAACCGUGCAAAGGUAGCGCAAUCAAUUGUCUCAUAAAUCGAGACUUGUAUGAAUGGCUAAACGAGGUCUUAACUGUCUCUUACAGGUAAUCAGUGAAAUUGAUCUCCCCGUGCAAAAGCGGGGAUAAACCCAUAAGACGAGAAGACCCUGUGGAACUUAAAAACCAGCGACCACUAUAAACCUAAUAUAAGACCUAAUAGGCACACUACCAGAAACAGCUGGUCCGCAUUUUUCGGUUGGGGCGACCUUGGAGAACAACACAUCCUCCAAAAAUAAGACAACACCUCUUCACUGAGAUCAACCACUCAACGUACUAAUAGUAACCCGAUCCAGCAUAGCUGAUCAAUGAACCAAGCUACCCCAGGGAUAACAGCGCAAUCCCCUUCAAGAGCUCAUAUCGACAAGGGGGUUUACGACCUCGAUGUUGGAUCAGGACAUCCUAAUGGUGCAGCCGCUAUUAAGGGUUCGUUUGUUCAACGAUUAAUCAGUCCUACGUGAUCUGAGUUCAGACCGGAGCAAUCCAGGUCGGUUUCUAUCUAUGACAAACCUUUCCCAGUACGAAAGGACCGGAAAAGUAAGGCCAAUGCUCCAAGUACGCCUUCCCAAAAAGUAAUGAACAUAUCUAAAUUACCAAAAGGACCCCCAUUACAAUCCUAAACAAGGACA
rnacentral:rRNA from 1 species